rnacentral:rRNA from 1 species
UACGUAGGGGGCAAGCGUUAUCCGGAUUUACUGGGUGUAAAGGGAGCGUAGACGGCUGUGCAAGCCAGAUGUGAAAGCCCGGGGCUCAACCCCGGGACUGCAUUUGGAACUGCGUGGCUUGAGUGUCGGAGAGGCAGGCGGAAUUCCUAGUGUAGCGGUGAAAUGCGUAGAUAUAUGGAGGAACACCGGUGACGAAAGCGGCUCUCUGGCCUGUAACUGACACUGAGGCUCGAAAGCGUGGGGAGCAAACAGG